GCGAAAGUGGCGGAAUUGGUAGACGCACUGGAUUUAGGUUCCAGCGCCGCAAGGCGUGAGAGUUCGAGUCUCUCCUUCCGCACCA
rnacentral:tRNA from 1 species